rnacentral:rRNA from 1 species
UACAUGUAAGCUAUUGUUUGGGGAUGAGCCCGCGUACCAUUAGCUUGUUGGUAGGGUAACGGCCUACCAAGGCUGCGAUGGUUAGCUGGUCUGAGAGGAUGAUCAGCCACACUGGAACUGACACACGGUCCAGACUCCUACGGGAGGCAGCAGUGAGGAAUUUUGCGCAAUGGGGGAAACCCUGACGCAGCAACGCCGCGUGAGUGAUGAAGGCUUUCGGGUCGUAAAGCUCUGUCAAGUGGGAAGAAAACACAUGGUGCUAAUAUCAUCUUGUGCUGACGGUACCACUGAAGGAAGCACCGGCUAACUCCGUGCCAGCAGCCGCGGUAAUACGGGGGGUGCAAGCGUUAUUCGGAAUUACUGGGCGUAAAGAGCGCGUAGGCGGUCUUUUAAGUCAGGUGUGAAAGCCCGGGGCUCAACCCCGGAAGUGCACUUGAAACUAAGGGACUUGAGUAUGGGAGAGGGAAGUGGAAUUCCUGGUGUAGCGGUGAAAUGCGUAGAUAUCAGGAGGAACACCGGUGGCGAAGGCGACUUCCUGGACCAAUACUGACGCUGAGGCGCGAAGGCGUGGGGAGCAAACAGGAUUAGAUACCCUGGUAGUCCACGCAGUAAACGGUGAACACUAGGUGUAGCGGGUAUUGACCCCUGCUGUGCCGCAGCAAACGCAUUAAGUGUUCCGCCUGGGGAGUACGGCCGCAAGGUUAAAACUCAAAGGAAUUGACGGGGGCUCGCACAAACGGUGGAGCAUGUGGUUUAAUUCGACGCAACGCGAAGAACCUUACCUGGAUUUGACAUCCCGGGAAUCUUUUUGAAAGAUUAGAGUGCCCUUCGGGGAGCCCGGUGACAGGUGCUGCAUGGCUGUCGUCACUCGUGUCGUGAGAUGUUGGGUUAAGUCCCGCAACGAGCGCAACCCCUUUCUUUAGUUACCAUCAUUCAGUUGGGGACUCUAAAGAUACUGCCCCGGUUAACGGGGAGGAAGGUGGGGAUGACGUCAAGUCCUCAUGGCCUUUAUGUCCAGGGCUACACACGUGCUACAAUGGGCUGUACAAAGGGUUGCCAACCUGCGAAGGUGAGCUAAUCCCAGAAAGCAGUUCGUAGUUCGGAUUGGAGUCUGCAACUCGACUCCAUGAAGCUGGAAUCGCUAGUAAUCGUGGAUCAGCAUGCCACGGUGAAUACGUUGCCGGGCCUUGUACACACCGCCCGUCACACCAUGAGAGUUGGUUGUACCAGAAGUCGUUGGGCAAACCCUUCGGGGAUGCAGGCGCCUAAGGUAUGGCUGAUGAUUGGGGUGAAGUCGUAACAAGGUA